UACGUAGGGUGCGAGCGUUAAUCGGAAUUACUGGGCGUAAAGCGUGCGCAGGCGGUGAUGUAAGACAGAUGUGAAAUCCCCGGGCUCAACCUGGGAACUGCAUUUGUGACUGCAUCGCUGGAGUGCGGCAGAGGGGGAUGGAAUUCCACGUGUAGCAGUGAAAUGCGUAGAUAUCUGGAGGAACACCGGUGGCGAAGGCGGCAUCCUGGACCGGCAUUGACGCUGAGGCGCGAAAGCUAGGGGAGCAAACGGG
rnacentral:rRNA from 1 species